rnacentral:rRNA from 1 species
ACGGCUCAGUAACACGUGGCUAAUCUGCCCUUGGGACCGGAACACCCCCGGGAAACUGGGGCUAAUUCUCGAUAGGUGAAGAACUCUGGAAUGAGUCUUUGCCAAAAAGACGCUGAGGUUAUGCUCUUCAGCGUCGCCCAAGGAUGAGGCCGCGACCGAUCAGGUUGUUGGUGAGGUAAUGGCUCACCAAGCCUUUUACCGGUGCGGGCCGUGAGAGCGGGAGCCCGGAGAUGGGCACUGAGACAAGGGCCCAGGCCCUACGGGGCGCAGCAGUCGCGAAAACUUUGCAAUACACGAAAGUGUGACAGGGCUAUCCCGAGUGCCAUCCGCUGAGGAAGGCUUUUACCCAGUCUAGAACGCUGGGGGAAUAAGGAGAGGGCAAGUCUGGUGUCAGCCGCCGCGGUAAUACCAGCUCUCCGAGUGGUGUGGAUGUUUAUUGGGCCUAAAGCAUCCGUAGCUGGCUAAGUUAGUCCCUUGUUAAAUCCACCGAAUUAAUCGUUGGAUUGCGGGGGAUACUGCUUGGCUAGGGGACGAGAGAGGCAGACGGUAUUUCCGGGGUAGGGGUGAAAUCCUAUAAUCCCGGGAAGACCACCAGUGGCGAAGGCUGUCUGCUAGAACGCGCCCGACGGUGAGGGAUGAAAGCUGGGGGAGCGAACCGGAUUAGAUACCCGGGUAGUCCCAGCUGUAAACGAUGCAGGCUAGGUGUUUGGACGGCCACGUGCCGUUCUAGUGCCGCAGGGAAGCUGUUAAGCCUGCCGCCUGGGGAGUACGAUCGCAAGAUUGAAACUUAAAGGAAUUGGCGGGGGAGCAC